rnacentral:sRNA from 1 species
UUGCCUGGCUUUUAUACAAACCUUCAAAAGAUUAGCUAAAACAGAUUCGGUACAAGAAUUUUUUUUGCUUCUUGCGCAACGUCAGUUUACUUACUACAAGUAAUGGGUAGUAUGUACGCCGGCUAUUUGCUCACUCUGAGACAG